GGUGCUAUAGUGUAGUGGUCAUCGCUCGGGAUUCUGAUGGACGAGUUCCCCAAGUUACCUUCCCGAAACCCAGGUUCGAAUCCUGAUAGCACCC